rnacentral:tRNA from 1 species
GCGGGAUUAGCUCAGUUGGUAGAGCACCUGACUCUUAAUCAGGGUGUCCAGGGUUCGAACCCUGAUCUCGCACCA